ACUGCCUGAUGGAGGGGGAUAACUACUGAAAACGAUAGCUAAUACCGCAUAACGUCGCAAACCCAAAGAGGGGGACCUUCGGGCCUCUUGCCAUCGGAUGUGCCCAGAUGGGAUUAGCUAGUAGGUGGGGUAACGGCUCACCUAGGCGACGAUCCCUAGCUGGUCUGAGAGGAUGACCAGCCACACUGGAACUGAGACACGGUCCAGACUCCUACGGGAGGCAGCAGUGGGGAAUAUUGCACAAUGGGCGCAAGCCUGAUGCAGCCAUGCCGCGUGUAUGAAGAAGGCCUUCGGGUUGUAAAGUACUUUCAGCGGGGAGGAAGGGAGUAAAGUUAAUACCUUUGCUCAUUGACGUUACCCGCAGAAGAAGCACCGGCUAACUCCGUGCCAGCAGCCGCGGUAAUACGGAGGGUGCAAGCGUUAAUCGGGAUUACUGGGCGUAAAGCGCACGCAGGCGGUUUGUUAAGUCAGAUGUGAAAUCCCCGGGCUCAACCUGGGAACUGCAUCUGAUACUGGCAAGCUUGAGUCUCGUAGAGGGGGGUAGAAUUCCAGGUGUAGCGGUGAAAUGCGUAGAGAUCUGGAGGAAUACCGGUGGCGAAGGCGGCCCCCUG
rnacentral:rRNA from 1 species